CCAGCUUUUAGUUUAUGCGUGCAGGGGAUGAUGGGAAGUAAGGUAUCAUAUUGCUGAUUAUGCUGAAAAAAUAAAAAUGGUGGCCGUGUAAACACGGAGUGAUAGCUUAUACUUGUAAAUAUUGAAAUAUUUUGGUUGUUUCGGUAGUUUUUAUUGAAAUUUUUCAGCAUAAUCGGCAAUAUGAUACCUUACUUCCCAUCAUCCCCUGCACGCAUAAACUAAAAGCUGGAAUUGCCAAUUAAAGAAAAC